rnacentral:lncRNA from 1 species
CUGCUGUCUGCUGUUGAAGGUCAUAAUGUCAUUUAGUUCAACGUUAAUUUAUUUGAAAUAUACUGAAAAUUAAGAACCAUAAAAGUAAUUGAACUCAUUGAGUUCAUUUGAUACUCCAACCGCUGUGAAUCCAUAUGCAAGUAUUUUAGUGUACCUGGAAAUAAAUUUAUCAGAGACAUCUGAUCAAAAGAAAUCAGGAGUAGAAACUUCAAAAUACAAGAUCAACGGGCUUGCUCCUAAACCCUGAUUUCAUUCCAG